rnacentral:lncRNA from 1 species
GGACAAGUAUUAACUUUUUCGUCUUACAGAAUCCAUAUUCCAAUUAAAGUGGCGCUACCAUGUCGCGCGUAACGCAAUCCGAUUUGCGCGGAGUGAAGGAAGAAGUUUAACACAAUUCAUGACGUCUGUAAACCUUUCGGGAAAUCACAAGAGAGGAAAAACAGUCCUCCAUCUAGCUUUCUCCAAAACUCCCUGAAUUAGCUGCGCCUCCGCUGCGCAACAGGGCGGAGACUGAGUCACAAAGUGGCCCGUCCUAGUGCUCGCACACACUCACAUACACGGAUCACACACACAGAGCGAGAGAGACACCCACACACUUCUCCUAGCGCUUGGAGAAACUUUCACUGCUCAGGUCAACCUGUUUCCAGCACACAUGCCAGUGAUCCCAUGUGGUUUAAAACAUUUACGAGUCGAGAUAAUGAACAUUAGAGACUCAAAGGAACGCUGCCAAUUUGUGAACACGGCCACAGACCACAAAACCAUUGAAAACUUCUAUGGACAUCUCUGGCAAUGUUGCAUUACAAGACACAGGUAUGGAUCAGACACAUGAGCAGGAGGAGAAGAUACCAAAGCAUCAGCAUCAGCAGCAACAUGAACAUGAAAAAGAAGAAGAAAAAGAAAAAACAGAUUUCAUUAGAGUGACGCAACAUCAGACACAUGAGCAGGAGGAGAAGAUACCAAAGCAUCAGCAUCAGCAGCAACAUGAACAUGAAAAAGAAGAAGAAAAGAAAAACAAGAUUUCAUUAGAGUGACGCAACAGCAUAUGUGUGCAGGACCCUCAUACUUACCAAACCUUUUAGUCUGUGACUUUUAACAGGUCUUAAGACACUUCAGCAAGGACAGAAAUACAUGAUUAUUUAUUUGUUAGUUAGACAGAGAUCAUAAUGAAAGAAAAAAGAAAAGAAAGAACAUGUAAAGAAAUAUCUCUGAUGAAUAGUAGGUUCAGAUAUUAAUAAUUCAAACCUCCUUCAUAUUGCUCUCUCUCUCUCUUUCUCUCACUCUCACAGACACACACACACACACACACACACACACACACACACACAAAUCUCAUCCUUCAUAACUGCAGAUGACAUUGCACAUUGCUGACAAGGUGCUCAAAUUGAUUUUCUUUUUGUGCAAACCUUCAAAAUAUUGAUAUUAUGUGUUAAUAAAAAUUAAACAAUCAAAAUAACCUUACUAUAUAUAUAUAUACAUAUAUAUAUACACACACACACACACACACACACAUAUAUUAUUAUUAUUAUUAUUUUUCAAAAGCAUUAGUUAGAAACUUUUAAUGUUUUAAGUAUGGAUUAUAUUCAUGAAAUGGAAAUAAAAUAUUAUUGUAGAAGAAUUAAUCAAAGAACCAUAAAGAAAAUACACUAACUAAUAAGAACAGAAUUCCAACUCUCACUGAGACAAUCAUGCUCUAUAUAAAAAUAUACACGUGUUCCUUCCCCCAACUCAUUAAACCUGAAUCUCUGGCCAUUGCAUGCCUCCAUCUAUAACAGGGGUGUCAACGGGCUUCAGCAGCACCUCACAACAUCACAUCCAGCUCUGAAACUUUCACUGCCCCCCUGUGGACUCAAGAAUAAUGGUACAGCCCUACCCAUGAGUCAGCCUGUUGCCAUGACAACAAGACCCACCAAGGGAUGGAAAAUGGGCCAGAAGAGGAAUGAGGGAAAAGCACCAUAAGAGGGGCUUUUGUAAACAUUUAUAAACACAGAGCAAGGCAUAUUUAUCCUCCACAAAAACAACAUAGGAAAUGACCAUCAUAUCUCAUUUAGGCACAAACAUUACCUCUCAUAUAUCAUACCAAACAAAGCAAGAAAUAUAAUCAGUGUGACCAAGGCCAAAAUUUAAGGGUUUGUGGUGAAAAAUAUGCAUGGUUUUGAUGUGCAUUUUUAUUUAUUUAUUUUUUUGCGCACUGACUGACUAUCUGUGCAUAACCCAUACAUAUAUCAGACAAAGACUGCAGGGAGGAGCAGGCGGAGAGGGGGAGGGGAGAAAUAAAAGACAGGAUGAGAGAAAAAGAUGUGAAGGAAAGACAGCUUCCCUUGUAUAGGGAUGAUUCCUUUGCUAUAAGUACACAAAUUAUAUAUUAGGACAUACGAUUAAAUUUAGUUUUGUGUUUUAUCUGGAAUCCACAGAAAAAAAGUCAACCAUCAAGAGAUAUGACCCACAUUCAGAAAAAACAGAACAAAAACAACUAGUAUAAAUGGCUUUGCGCCCACGUGGUUUUAGUUUACUGUCUGUAGACACAGGUCACUGUAUAUGUGUGUGUGUAUGUGUGUGUGUGUCCCCUACUGUCUCACUGGCCUUGAUAAACCCUGUUUAAUCCUUUCAGAGGAUCAGUGUGCUGCAGGAUGAGGACACACACAAGCUCACGUGAGACAGAUUUCUUAAGGAGAGAUGCACUGCUGCAUCAAAGUGAGAAGCAAAAUAGGACAGAAAAUAAAAUAAUUAAUUUAAAGAUGCUCAAGAGACAAGAAACAUAAACUGUUUUUCUAGCAAUAAGGACAUUAAAUGCUUCCUUUUUGCUAUAACCACCACAAAGACAUUUUAAGAUUUUAAACACCUGACUUUGAUAGCUAUAUGCAAUUUUUUUAGGAAUAACAUUUUUCUAGAUAAAGCUAAGUAAACAUAUACGUCUUGAAGGAAGCAUUACAGUCAAAAACACUGUACAACCAGUCAGGUAAAGUGAAAUAUAGAAUACAAAGGCGAUCUUGACCGUUUUACAUAUAAAACAGUGUCUUUGACCUUUCAUAUUGGCUUUUACACAACGGCAAUGUGCCAAUUAAGAAUGCUUUGAAGCAAGAAGCCCAUUUCAGUGAUUUGUGAGGAAACAGCUCCCAAAGCUAAAGAGCAUGUGGAUUUAUGAUGUACAUUAAAGAAAAGGCACUAAUAAGUACAGGAACUGAAGAUUAGAGAAAUGAAGGCCAGAUGUGGGACACCCAAAGGCAAAGAGGGUAACAGUUCACACAGUCACAACUGAAGAAAUGCAGAUGUGCCCGCCACAAACAAACAACAGAAAAAGUCUGUGUGCAUGAUUGACUUUGCAUAUAAUUAUGGUAGACAAUAAAAAAGUCAUUUAAGACUUAUUUUCAUUUAAGAAAAAUGACAGGGGAAUGUCACUAAAAUGGUUAUUUUGAGUAGCAACUUCCAUAUUAGCAGUUUGCAUACGCAAGCAGCACAUCUGACUACCACAUGUCUCUUCUUUAAUGUGCUGCAGAGAAAAGAGGCUCCACAACUGAAAAUGAGUCUAUUAAAGAGAAGCCAGUAGGGUACGCUGGAAAAUAAACUAAAACAUACAAGCUAUAAAGUUGAAGUCAACCUGAAAUGACUCCCAAGAAGCACUUUACUUCCGUAAAAUGACGCAUUUCAGAGUGGAACAGAACAUUCAAGUGAAGCUACAGCUAAUUCAUUAUGUGCAUGACUGUUUACUGUAGAAACACAUGGGCAAGUCUCGAAGUGUGUUUCUGUAUUUGUGAUAGCUCAUUUGUGAUAGUUAUAUGUUAAACAAGUUCAGCUUUUUCCUACAUGUAUAAUAAAAUUGAAUCUUUUAUAUAAGCUCUUACAAGGCUGUCACAAUGGCCUGUAUAUGAUUUAUUUGUCAUCAUCUUCAUAUUCUAAACCGUCUGUCUGCAUUGCCUGUAGUCACAGGACUGUGCAGCUUUAUAGAUGUCCUUAUAGUUGUUCUGUCUCAAAAUGUCUACCCGCAUCACACUGCAGUGGUUUUAUAUAAAGUGCAUCUCUCUACAUCCCUAUUUCAGCUUGUUUACCAUUGAAUAUUUGCCUUUUCUCCUGAAAAUAGUUUACACGGUCUGUGUAUCAGUAUAUUAUUUAGUGCCACUGUAUGAUCAGGGCAAUAAUAUGUGUGUGAAGCAGAAAAUGGGUCAGUGAGGGAAAAAAUAGUAUGCAGUGUCCCUGUUCUUUCUGCAGCACUAGUCCUCCUCCUCCUGCAUCUCUCUCUUUCCUCUGCUUUACUGCCCUUUGGACCAUCAGAAUGUCCUGCAUGACACAAAACUGAUAUAUUUGAGAAUGCAAAAUAUCAGAGCUGGCAUUCAAGUUAUUCAUCAUCUGAUGACAACAAAGAUUCAGUUUGGAUUUUGCUGCAUUAGCUUCGACUCGCCUCUCAGCACACAACCCCUCCCCCACGACUCUGCAGUCUGUGAGAUCAGAGCGCAUUUCCUGUUUUCUCCUCCUGACAACAGCUGACACAUUCUAAAGGAGUGAUUGUGUUUAUAUGCCACUGAAUGUUUCUAUGAACACAUAGAAUACAGUUGCUACAGAAGUAUUUAGACACUAAAGUUUCACAAAAAUGUGUAAUACACUAAAUUACACAAAUAUCAUUAUUUAAAAAUAAAAUAGCACAAGCACACAUUAAAUUAAUAGAUUUACUGUUAAAAACAACUUUGUGUUUGUGAAGCAUUAGUGGAUCAUGUUCACAGUUAAUGUGCUUUUCUAUUCCUGUGGUUCCUCUACUUGCGCACCUGUGUGAACUUGAGGAAAACCAACUUCACACAUUCACUAAACAUCACAAAAACAGCAGUUGACGGUAGUGUCAAGCACACUAAGGAGACAUAAUGAAGAAAGGCAACUUUAGAAAGGAAUAAAAAAAAAAUUCUGUAUAAAUACUUGUAAGCAAUACUGUAGCAGUCACAUUAAGAAAUCUCACCUCUGCACUAACAUCUUCUGUAUUCCUGUUUUGCUUUGGCAUCGUUCUUGUGCCACUCAAGUCAAAGUUUAAAACACUUUGACUAGAGGGCCGCAGAAACUUCAGAUCACUCUUUCUGGAGUCAGUAGUGCCACAAACCUCAUAAUUGUACACGUG